GUAGGAGAAGAAGUUUGUGUGGUGGUUAUGUAAGCUGUAUUGGGAGUUGGAUGGGGAAGUCUCUUAGGCAGUGGUAACCCUAGCUGAGCCCAUCCACAUUCCUUGGAAAUUUUCCAGAGACAUCACUGUGGAAGUGAGGUAACCUCAGCUCAGCACUACCAUCAUCUGGAUGAACUUCAAAACCCCAUAUAGAACUCGGACAUGGAGGCACACACGGAGGGAAUGAGGUUAGGCAGAAAUUUUUUUAAAGGAAGAAAACAUGAAGCAAAUCAUCCUAAUGUAGUAUAUCCAAAUAGAUGGAGGGAACUUGAAAAUCCAGGAUAUAACAUGCUAACUUGCC